rnacentral:SRP_RNA from 1 species
GCUGGGCGUGGUGGCGUGUGCCUGUAGUCCCAGCUACUUGGGAGGCUGAGGCAGAAGAAUCGCUUGAACCUGGGAGAUGAGGUUGCAGUGAGCCGAGAUUGCACCACUGCACUCCAGCCUGGGCAACAGAGCGAGACUCUGUCUCAA